UGAUAAUGUUCAAAUGGAGUCAGGUGAGAUUAGGACCCUCUUCAUGUCUGCAUCUGAACAAUUUGUUGAGCAUGGUGUAUUAUUUUGAAAACAAAAGUUGUCCAUGUGUUCUAUGCUUCUCGUGUUUGUUGUUAUUGAAUGCCCCCAAUAUGAUUCGUGGCUUAUUUGUUUUUGUUGUUAAUUCGUUUUCUGCAAAUUAGUAAUUCUUAGGCCCUAAGUUCUAUGAUUAGCAGCUUGGAUUUUUUCUGCUAUUAAGAACUUCUUGGUGGUACAAUCCUAUUAUAUUUCUGCUGGAAUUGAAAUCUGCCUUCGCCUUUUUCUGUAGCUAGUAGCCAAUGAAUGUAAUGAUGUUAAUGGGUGUGAAUUAUGAUUGUUGCAUAUGGAAUGAGUACAGGAACUUGGAGUAGAUAAUAGAUCUAGAGGGGAUGUGUUCAGAAGUGGAAAAUGAAGUUUUUAAUGUGGUUUAGCUUAGUACAUAAGUGAAUUGUCUGGUUAUAUUUCAUUUACUUUGUCUUGUUGUCUUGCUAAUGUUGUGGUCAUGAUGUGGCAGAUUGGGUCUUGGUAUUAAGAAUUAAUGAAAGAUUAAAGGUUUUUGUGGCAUUUCAUUUGUGAUCCUAGACUUCGCUUUUAAAAAUCCCAUGGAUUCCUCACCAGAUAGAAGAGAUUGCAAAUAUUUUUAUAUCAUGUAUCAAUCAUCCAAUGUUAUUAGCUAUAAUUCCCUGUAUAAGCAUGUCAGUUAAACAAUGUUGAGCUCAACUAUGAACCAUGCAAGGUCCUGCAAGCUUGCGUCAAUUUGAAGCUUGGGAGCUCUAUGCUAGAUUUUGAAUGCCAUUUCAACGAAGCCAUUGAAAAGAAGAUGCGAUGUGUUGAGUUGUUUUGUUAUGUAGAUAUAAGUCCAAUUACAAUUUGUUGUUUGAAUAGUUGAAUGCUACAAACAAUGCUUAUGGCACUAGCUUUAUAAAUUGGAAAUGAUACUUUUGAAAUCUCUGUCAGUUUAUGAUAUACAAUCAAGAUAUUACAUACUAAUGAAUCGGAGCGUGAUAUUUGUUUGUUAUUGAAAUAUCUUUUGAUUAAACCUC